AUGCUAUACAUGCAGUCGAGCGACUGAUUAGAAGCUUGCUUCUAUGACGUUAGCGGCGGACGGGUGAGUAACACGUGGGCAACCUGCCUGUAAGACUGGGAUAACUUCGGGAAACCGAAGCUAAUACCGGAUAGGAUCUUCUCCUUCAUGGGAGAUGAUUGAAAGAUGGUUUCGGCUAUCACUUACAGAUGGGCCCGCGGUGCAUUAGCUAGUUGGUGAGGUAACGGCUCACCAAGGCAACGAUGCAUAGCCGACCUGAGAGGGUGAUCGGCCACACUGGGACUGAGACACGGCCCAGACUCCUACGGGAGGCAGCAGUAGGGAAUCUUCCGCAAUGGACGAAAGUCUGACGGAGCAACGCCGCGUGAGUGAUGAAGGCUUUCGGGUCGUAAAACUCUGUUGUUAGGGAAGAACAAGUACRAGAGUAACUGCUYGUACCUUGACGGUACCUAACCAGAAAGCCACGGCUAACUACGUGCCAGCAGCCGCGGUAAUACGUAGGUGGCAAGCGUUAUCCGGAAUUAUUGGGCGUAAAGCGCGCGCAGGCGGUUUCUUAAGUCUGAUGUGAAAGCCCACGGCUCAACCGUGGAGGGUCAUUGGAAACUGGGGAACUUGAGUGCAGAAGAGAAAAGCGGAAUUCCACGUGUAGCGGUGAAAUGCGUAGAGAUGUGGAGGAACACCAGUGGCGAAGGCGGCUUUUUGGUCUGUAACUGACGCUGAGGCGCGAAAGCGUGGGGGAGCAAACAGAUAGAUACCCUGUAGUCCACGCCGUAAACGAUGAGUGCUAGUGUAGAGGGAUUCCGCCUUUAGUGCUGCAGCUACGCAUUAGCACUCGCUGGGGAGUACGGUCGCAGACUGAACUCAGAA
rnacentral:rRNA from 2 species